UCAAAGGGAGAGUAAGGUGAUUAAAGAGAAAGAGUAUUAUGAUCAAAGGGAGAGUAAGGUGAUUAAAGAGAUAGAGUAUUAUGAUCAAAGGGAGAGUAAGGUGAUUAAAGAGAUAGAGUAUUAUGAUCAAAGGGAGAGUAAGGUGAUUAAAGAGAAAGAGUAUUAUGAUCAAAGGGAGAGUAAGGGGAUUAAAGAGAAAGAGUGUUAUGAUCAAAGGGAGAGUAAGGUGAUUAAAGAGAUAGAGUAUUAUAAUCAAAGGGAGAGUAAGGGGAUUAAAGAGAAAGAGUGUUAUGAUCAAAGGGAGAGUAAGGUGAUUAAAGAGAUAGAGUAUUAUGAUCAAAGGGAGAGUAAGGUGAUUAAAGAGAUAGAGUAUUAUGAUCAAAGGGAGAGUAAGGUGAUUAAAGAGAUAGAGUAUUAUGAUCAAAGGGAGAGUAAGGUGAUUAAAGAGAUAGAGUAUUAUAAUCAAAGGGAGAGUAAGGUGAUUAAAGAGGUAGAGUAUUAUAAUCAAAGGGAGAGUAAGGGGAUUAAAGAGGUAGAGUAUUAUAAUCAAAGGGAGAGUAAGGUGAUUAAAGAGAAAGAGUAUUAUGAUCAAAGGGAGAGUAAGGUGAUUAAAGAGGUAGAGUAUUAUGAUCAAAGGGAGAGUAAGGGGAUUAAAGAGAUAGAGUAUUAUAAUCAAAGGGAGAGUAAGGGGAUUAAAGAGAUAGAGUAUUAUAAUCAAAGGGAGAGUAAGGGGAUUAAAGAGAAUGAGUGUUAUGAUCAAAGGGAGAGUAAGGGGAUUAAAGAGAUAGAGUAUUAUGAUCAAAGGGAGAGUAAGGUGAUUAAAGAGAUAGAGUAUUAUGAUCAAAGGGAGAGUAAGGUGAUUAAAGAGAAAGAGUAUUAUGAUCAAAGGGAGAGUAAGGGGAUUAAAGAGAAAGAGUGUUAUGAUCAAAGGGAGAGUAAGGUGAUUAAAGAGGUAGAGUAUUAUAAUCAAAGGGAGAGUAAGGUGAUUAAAGUUUACCAUUGAAGGGGAUGAAAGAGUGAUGAUGCUGGUUAACUCUUGCAUAAGGGAUUUGGACAGCAUAGGGAUGAAUGAGUGAAGAUGCUGGUUAACUUUUGCGUGAGGUAUUUAACGAGAUAGAGUAUUAUGAUGAGAGAGAG